rnacentral:lncRNA from 1 species
UCAUCACUCUCUCUCAUAUUUGAUUGACUACACAAAAAAUGAUUCCUUCAAGUACAUCACAAAUAUUUCUUGCAAAACUCCAACAGCAAAACAUUACUUUAAGCUGCACUACACCAGACUCGAGUUCAACCAUCUCGCAUCAUUUCUAUGUUUACUAUUAUGUGAUCCUAUAUUCAAUUGUUACAUUGCAAGCAUGGCUCUUCCUAAAAUCAUGCUCGAGUCUUUGCUUAAACUCAAUGCUUCAUCCACUUACC